AGGGAAUCUUGCGCAAUGGGCGAAAGCCUGACGCAGCAAUGCCGCGUGCGGGACGAAGGCCCUAGGGUCGUAAACCGCUUUCAGUAGGGACGAAAAUGACGGUACCUGCAGAAGAAGCUCCGGCCAACUACGUGCCAGCAGCCGCGGUGAUACGUAGGGAGCAAGCGUUGUCCGGAAUUACUGGGCGUAAAGGGCUCGUAGGUGGUUGAGUAAGUCAGAUGUGAAAUCUCAGGGCCCAACCCUGAGCGUGCAUUUGAUACUGCUCUGACUAGAGGCCGGUAGGGGAGUGCGGAAUUCCCGGUGUAGCGGUGAAAUGCGUAGAGAUCGGGAGGAAUACCAGAGGCGAAAGCGGCGACCUGGACGAGUACUGACACUCAACUGCGAAAGCGUGGGGAGCAAAC
rnacentral:rRNA from 1 species